rnacentral:rRNA from 1 species
CCAAGGCGACGAUCAGUAGCCGACCUGAGAGGGUGGCCGGCCACAUUGGGACUGAGACACGGCCCAAACUCCUACGGGAGGCAGCAGUGGGGAAUAUUGCGCAAUGGGGGAAACCCUGACGCAGCAACGCCGCGUGAGUGAAGAAGUAUCUCGGUAUGUAAAGCUCUAUCAGCGGGGAAGAAGGAAGACGGUACCCGACUAAGAAGCCCCGGCUAACUACGUGCCAGCAGCCGCGGUAAUACGUAGGGGGCGAGCGUUAUCCGGAUUUACUGGGUGUAAAGGGAGCGUAGACGGCGUCGCAAGUCUGAAGUGAAAGCCCGUGGCUCAACCGCGGAACCGCUUUGGAAACUGCGAGGCUGGAGUGCUGGAGAGGUAAGCGGAAUUCCUGGUGUAGCGGUGAAAUGCGUAGAUAUCAGGAGGAACACCGGUGGCGAAGGCGGCUUACUGGACAGUGACUGACGUUGAGGCUCGAAAGCGUGGGGAGCGAACAGGAUUAGAUACCCUGGUAGUCCACGCGGUAAACGAUGAGUGCUAGGUGUCGGGGGGCAAAGCCCCUCG